rnacentral:lncRNA from 1 species
ACCCCUUUAGGUGGGACAGGAUGGCUACAGGGGCCUGGAUUUGGGUAUUUGCCUUCCCUCAGGUUUGUUAGGAUCUGAUAAAAUCCUAGUAGGGUUAGGCUUUGGUAAAAUAGUUUCUCUUGAGGACAGGCCUUGUUAAGAAGAACAGAAUGUUCUGGAGUAUUUCAAAAUUACACCUUUACUUUACUAUUCCUCUCCCUCUUACCAUUACUUUUCCCUCUUCCUGCUGGAAGCCCAAGGAGAUUUUUCUCUGAUGUUCACUGUGAGAACUCGGAGGAACUCCUGGAGGUAAAGUGUAGGCAUCCCCCUUGCAAGUGGGCCCUCCUGGAGCUUUAACUCCCAGACUUGUCCACACGGAGCCUCCAGCAAUUCAUCAACUACAGUUCAGGUUUUUCUAGCCUGGUAUUUGUUCCUGCACAGAUUUCUUUUUAUGAGUUUCUGCUCCUGUAAGUUGAUUCUCUGUAUCCUCCUGUCUAGGACUACUGGUUUGCUCUGCAAAUUUAAUUUUCUAACAAAUCUAAGAAGAGGUACUGAUUUUUGUUUUGUCAAGUUUUAACUUGUUAGGACAGAGUGAUGACUCCUAAGGUCCUUAUGUGCUAGAUGGGGCAAGCUUCUUUUUAUUUCAAAGGCUUUUCUAAUUUUCUCUUAAGGCAUUAUACAUUGUGAUUACUUGCUCUUGUGUUCCUUAUAGUAUAAUAUUUAUUCUUGAAUAAUGUAUUUUAAAAUUUGAAUUCUUUGCUGAAUUGCGUCACUUCAAUUUUUUUUAUCUUUUUGUUUUUCUCUUUUCUCAAAUAGGAAGUACUGUCAUUCUGACAGCAGGUUCACCCAAAGGGUACACCUUGACUUUGUAAUAGUAUCCCUGACUGUUCUGUUAAAUUUCAAAAUGAGAAAACUCUUUUUCGUCUAUUGACAGAUAAUGUGCACCCAAAUUAAGUGUGAGUGGGGGUCUGACUGUAUGUCUAAAGUGUACAGGCAGAGAUGAAUGUGUGUGGCUUUAGCAGAUCCACACUCAUCCAGGGAUAACUGGACCAUGGGGGCAGGGUGGGAGUGGAGAGAAGUCAUCAUAGGAUGGUAAUCAGGUGCUUGCAGGGAGAAGAGAAGGAAAAGCAGAUGAGUGAACAAGGGCAGAUGGUGCUGGAGAAUUCCAUCAAGUGGGCAUCAAGAAGGGACUGGAGGUUAAAACCUUUGGGAUAAAGAAGAAGAAAAAAAGACAAGCUGGUAAAAAGUAAGGUCUGGGGGGUGGAGGCAAGAAGGGGAGUUGCUAAAAACUCUAGAAUAAGCAGUAAGACAUCUUUCAAUAAAACUGCCCCUUCCCAGAUGGCACCUGGGCACUGUUUGCUGGGCACAAACAUGGCACUGUUUCCUAGGAGAUGAUUCCUCCAGUUCUUUAAGGUAGUAAUGAAUGACAACAAGAAGUUACUUCUCUAUGCUACACACGGUGUAGAAUCCAGAGCCUGACUGGCUGUGACGCGCCCAUGGUGACACCAAGGGGACUCUGCAUGGGCACAUCCCGGCCCUCCUCCCUGCAUGUUCUCCAAGCCAGGUCUUUGAAACCUCCAGUGAUGGGAAUGACAGAAUCUGGGAUGAUUUUCUUCUGUUUCUUAUCUAAAAAAACAACAAAAAGCUCAGCAUACACGGACUCACACAAACCUUUUGCUAGAGGCAGCUCUGUAGACUUAAGACGCUGUCAUUUUUCAGAAGAACCCAGCUUGCUUUGGAACUACAGUCAGCCCUGCAACCCACCCUCACCUUGGACCCUGCUGCUGCUGUCUGUAAAGGGUCUGGAUGAAGGAAGGGAGCCUCCAGCUUGUCGGCUGUACUUGCCCAGAAUUUAGCCUUUGCAACAUGGAGCUGCGGGGAUGGGAAAUGUUGUCCACUAGCCUUCCGUAGACAAUGCUGCGAUGAAUACACCUGUGCAUUCUUUUUUAGAACAAGUGUAAGAAUUCCUAUGUGGCUGGACGGUACUGCUGCCAUCUCGGCUCACUGCAACCUCCCUGCCUGAUUCUCCUGCCUCAGCCUGCCGAGUGCCUGCGAUUGCAGGCGCGCACCGCCACGCCUGACUGGUUUUCGUUUUUUUUUGGUGGAGACGGGGUUUCGCUGUGUUGGCCGGGCUGGUCUCCAGCUCCUAGCCGCGAGUGAUCCGCCAGCCUCGGCCUCCCGAGGUGCCGGGAUUGCAGAUGGAGUCUCGUUCACUCAGUGCUCAAUGGUGCCCAGGCUGGAGUGCAGUGGCGUGAUCUCGGCUCGCUGCAACCACCUCCCAGCCGCCUGCCUUGGCCUCCCGGAGAGCCGAGAUUGCAGCCUCUGCCCGGCCGCCACCCCGUCUGGGAAGUGAGGAGCGUCUCUGCUUGGCCACCCAUCGUCUGGGAUGUGAGGAGCCCCUCUGCCUGGCUGCCCAGUCUGGAAAGUGAGGAGCGUCUCUGCCCGGCCGCCAUCCCAUCUGGGAAGCGAGGAGCGCCUCUUCCCCGCCGCCAUCCCAUCUAGGAAGUGAGGAGCGUCUCUGCCCGGCCGCCCAUCGUCUGAGAUGUGGGGAGCACCUCUGCCCCGCCGCCCUGUCUGGGAUGUGAGGAGCGCCUCUGCUGGGCCGCAGCCCUGUCUGGGAGGUGGGGAGCGUCUCUGCCCGGCCGCUCCGUCUGAGAAGUGAGGAAACCCUCUGCCUGGCAACCGCCCCGUCUGAGAAGUGAGGAGCCCCUCCGUCCGGCAACCACCCCGUCUGGGAAGUGAGGAGCGUCUCCGCCCAGCAGCCACCCCGUCCGGGAGGGAGGUGGGGGGGGUCAGCCCCCCGCCCGGCCAGCCGCCCCGUCUGGGAGGGAGGUGGGGGGAUCAGCCCCCCGCCUGGCCAGCCGCCCCAUCCGGGAGGUGAGGGGCGCCUCUGCCUGGCUGCCCCUACUGGGAAGUGAGGAGCCCCUCUGCCCGGCCAGCCGCCCCGCCCGGGAGGGAGGUGGGGGGGACAGCCCCCCGCCCAGCCAGCCGCCCUAUCCAGGAGGUGAGGGGCGCUCUGCCCGGCCGUCCCUACUGGGAAGUGAGGAGCCCCUCUGCCUGGCCAGCCGCCCCGUCCGGGAGGGUGGUGGGGGGGUCAGCCCCCCGCCCGGCCAGCCGCCCCAUCCGGGAGGUGAGGGGCGCUUCUGCCCGGCCGCCCCUACUGGGAAGUGAGGAGCCCCUCUGCCCGGCCACGACCCCGUCUGGGAGGUGUGCCCAGCGGCUCAUUGGGGAUGGGCCAUGAUGACAAUGGCGGUUUUGUGGAAUAGAAAGGCGGGAAGGGUGGGGAAAAAAUUGAGAAAUCGGAUGGUUGCCGGGUCUGUGUGGAUAGAAGUAGACAUGGGAGACUUUUCAUUUUGUUCUGUACUAAGAAAAAUUCUUCUGCCUUGGGAUCCUGUUGAUCUGUGACCUUAUCCCCAACCCUGUGCUCUCUGAAACAUGUGCUGUGUCCACUCAGGUUUAAAUGGAUUAAGGGCGGUGCAAGAUGUGCUUUGUUAAACAGAUGCUUGAAGGCAGCAUGCUCGUUAAGAGUCAUCACCACUCCCUAAUCUUAAGUACCCAGGGACACAAACACUGCGGAAGGCCAAGGCCGCAGGGUCCUCUGCCUAGGAAAACCAGAGACCUUUGUUCACUUGUUUAUCUGCUGACCUUCCCUCCACUAUUGUCCUAUGACCCUGCCAAAUCCCCCUCUGCGAGAAACACCCAAGAAUGAUCAAUAAAAAAAAAUAAAUAAAUUAAAAAAAACAAACAAACAAACAAAAAAAGUUAUACUUUUUUUUUUCUGUUUGUCUUCAACUUUAUGGUGUCUUUCCAGAGAGAACAGUUAAAAUUUUUUUUUAAAAAUAAGCAUGUGUUAAAUCUUAUAGUUGAUUAAUUUUUUAAAUGAAGGAAAUGGUAAGAUAUUAUAAGCAGUUGAAAGGAUAAUCCAACAGACAUAUUUAUAUAUCAGAAAUAUUGAAAUGAAAGUGCAAAUGGAAAAAUAACUGGCUUCCUGCACAAUGGAAGAGGAAAAUCAAUGGAACUUUCACUGAAUAUAAUUAAUUUUCAUGUUUAUACAAGAAUUAUUUUGCAUUAAUAUCAGUUAUCUACAACUUACAGAGUUGUAAAGUAGCUCAAAGGCAAUGAUAGAGUUAGAUUUAGAUUACCUGUAAGAGUGUGCACUAAAAAUGCAUAGCUUUUUAUUAGAGACAACAAGUCCUCUUUUCUGCCUAUUCCAAAGUUCCUUACAUUGUCACAUUCUGGUUGAUAGGUUACCUCCAUCUCUGAUUAGUUACUGUAUAUUCGUGAAUCUUUUCCUCAUGAGCUACAGAUUGAGCAUCUCUAUCUUGUACUAUUUUUGCCUCCCCAUUUUUCCAAAUAUAGUAUUAGAAGAAAAACUGGUGCUUCUUAACUAUAAUACUUAGUGUAAUUAACUUACCGAACCUGCAAGUUAUUGGUCAACCACAAUGACUGUUUGAUUUUCAUGACAUGUUCCAACAACAUGAAUGUAUGUUUUACUAUGCAUUUUUUACUAUGCAUUCAUAGUUUAAAAAUGCCCUUGGAGGUCUGUGGAAAGUGAAAUUUUAAAUUUUAAUGAAGCCAACUCUCUAAAUCUUAUGACAUCUACAUUUUAUAUGUUCUUAGAAAAAACUAUUCUACUCUAGAAUUAUAAUCUUUUUCUUUCCCCUAGUAGAUUUUUUUUUCAAAAAAUUGUCUUAAUCCCUUUGGAGUUCAUUUUGGAAAAGAUGAAAUAAGGGCUAAUUUUAUUUUACUUUUACAAAUGGAUAUUUAGUGUAGCACUAGAUACUGAAUAGUUCAUCCUUCACUGAUUCGAAAUGCCAACAUUUUGUAUAGUAAGCACUCACAUUUACACAUGGAUCUGUUUCUGGAUAUCUCUUCUAGUCCAUUACUUAUUUAUCUUAGGUUGAGCCAUCAAUAGUCUGUUACUUAGAUAUUGUUACUUAUGAAAAAUUUCAAGCAUACAUAAAAUAGAGAAAAUAGUAUCAUAAAUACAACAUAUCACUAUCGCAGUUUCAGCAAUUAUCAAUAUUUCCUUACAAAUGCUUACUCUAUCCCUUUUCUCUCUCUCUAGUUGCUGCACUGUUUUAAAGCACAUCUCAGACAUCAUACCAUUUGACCCCUGAAUACUUCCAUAUACAGCUCUGAAAUAAAAAAUUACGGCAUUUUCCUAUAUAACUGUAAUACCAUUAUCACCUCUGAAAAAUUAAGAGCAACUCCUUAAUGUUAUUGAAGUUCCUACCUACGUUCAGUUUUCUCUGGUAUAACACACUAUUUUAAAUAUCUCUGUAUCAACAUAUGAUGCUUUUAUACCUUGCAGGGCAAGUCUCCCUUGCAUUAUUCUUUUAAAAACAUUUCAUUGCUCUUCUCACAUAUUAUUUUCUGUGCCAGAAAAUUAUUUCCAAUCACUCUGUCAAAUUUCAUAACAAGUUCUGUAGAAAUUUUGCUUUGAAUUACAUUUAAUUUAUAACUUAAUUUGUGGGAGCUUUACAGUAUUGACAGCUUUACAGUAUUGAUUCAAUUCAUUCAGAAAUGUAAUGUCUCUCUAUUUAUUUAAGUCUUCUUUCAUGGCUUCAGUAAGGAGUUAGAGUUCUUUUUCAUAGGCAGGUUACAUUUACUUCUGUUUGCCUCCUCUGUGUUCUUCCAUUUCUCUUGCUUUCUUUUGGAUUGUAUUAAAACUGUUUGGACUUCUAUUUUAAUUUAUCUAUUAACUUUCUAGCUAUUCCUCUUUAUAUUACUUUUUAUAUUACUCUUUGUGUUACUUUUUAAAUAGUUCCUCUAGGGCUUACAACAUAUUUCUUCAAAUCUUCACAGUUGGAGUAUUGUUCUACUACAACUAAUGGAAGUUAGUAUUGUACUACUUUAUGUGAACCCUAAAAUCUUGCAACUGUAUAGAUCCAAUCAUGCCUUCUCAUCCAUUAUGCUAUGUAGUUGUCAUAUGUGUUGCCUUUACAUAUGUUAUGGAUCACAUGUCAUGAUUUUUAAAACCAUUUUUUGUAGUUGAAAAAAAAGAGAAAAAUAUUAUGUUAUAUUUACCUAGAUAUUUGCCAUUUCCAAUGCUUGUCACAAUUCCUGAAAAUCUAAAUUUCCAUUUCAUCUGGAAUCAUUUUUUUCCUUUAGCAUUUCUUAUAAUGUGAUUCUGUUGGUUCUUAGUUUCUUUCUUUCUUUUGUUCUUUUUCUUUUAUUUUCUUUUUUUUUUGAGAAAGGGUUUUGCUCUGUUGGCCAGGCUGGAGUGCAGUGAUGCAAUCAUGGCUCACUGGAGGCUUGAACUUCUGGGCUCAGGCAAUCCUCCCACCUCAGCCUGCUGAGUAGCUGGGGCCACAGGUGUGUGCCACCAUGCCCACCUUUUUUUUAAAAAUUUUUUUGCAGAGACAGGGUCUCCCUGUGUUGCCUAGGUUGGUCUUGAACUUCUGGGCUCAAGCCACCCUUUUGCCUGGGCAUCCCAAAGUGCUGGGAUUACAGGUGUGAGCUACCGUGUCCGACUCUUAUCUGAAAAUAUCUGUUUUUCGCUUUCAUUCUUGACAUGAUGAAUAUUAUAGAAUUCUUUGUUGAUAGGUUUUUCUGAAACAUUUUAAAGAUAUUGUUGCAUUGUCUUUUGGCCUUCAUGAUUUAUGAUGUCAGCAGUCAUUCAAAUAAUUGUUCAAUGUUUAUAUGUGUCACUUGUAUCUGGUCACUUUAAAAAUUUUAUCUUUUUUUUGUUUGCAGAAGGUUGAUUAUGAUCUUCCUAGGUGUGGAUUUUUUAUUCUUUUGGGGAUGCAUUGAGCUUCUCGAAUAUAUAAAUUUACUUCUUUUAUCAUAUUAAGAAAAUUUUGGUCAUAAUUUCUUAAAAUAUUUUUUCUGCUCCAUUCUCUCUCCUUCUUUUGUGCAACUCCAAUUACAUGGAUGUUAAACCUUUUGAUAUAGUCCCACAUAUCACUAAGUCUCUGUUCAUUAAAAAAUGUUUUUCUCUGUGCUCUUCAGAUUGUAUAAUUCUAUUGAUCUAUUUUUACGCUCAUUGCUGCUUUUGUCCAUCUUCCUCAAUUUGCUGUAAUUGUUUUCCAGAUAUUGUAUUGUUCAGUUUUAGUAUUUCCAUUUGGGUUUUUUUUUCUGUAGUUUUUAUUUAUCUGCUGAGAUUUUCUAUUUAUCAUUUAUUGUGAGCACAUUUUCCUUUAUACCCUUAAGCAUAGUUAUACUAGCUGUUUUAAAAUCCUUCUUGCUAAUUUAAACAUCUGGGUCAUCUUGGGGUUGUUUUGUAUUUAUCAACAUUUUUCAUGAGAGUGAGCCACAUUUUCUGUUUAUUUGGGUAUCAAGUAAUUUUUUAUUGUCUAUUGGGCAUUAUAAAUGCUAUGCUAUGGAGAUCUAGAUUUUGUUACAGUCCUAUGAAGAACCUUGAUGUUGUUGUUUUAGCAUGCAAUGUAUUUGGUUUGACUCAAAUUAUAAACAUCGUGUCCUUGUGUCUUUGGUGACAGAUUAAAUUUCAGUUUAGUUCUUUUAGCCUUAGCUGGCUGCUGAAGUCUGUCCACAUAUGUGUGGUCCAGGGGUCAGGCAGGGAUUUAAGUAGAGUUUAUAUACGAAAGUUAGUCACUACCUCUGUGACUCUCUCUUUUCUGGUAUUACUGCCUCAUUGUAUAGUGGCUAUAUUUGUCCUGAACUCUGUCUUCUAGGUUUUCAAGUCAGAAAGACUGCAAUUUUGAUGUUUUAGUCACCCUAUAUGGCAUAGACUGAAGCCUGCUGUCAGGCUUGAAGCCAUGAAAAUGUGAAACUCACCCAGUGUCAUUCCUAUAUUUUAACUGUCAACUCCGCUCCAAAAUCUACCUGCUUUUGGUCUUUUCCCAGUGCCCUCAAGUAUUUGUUUUUUUUUCAUAUUUUUUCCAAAGGUUAUUGUUUUACCUGUGGAAGGGUUGGUUCAUUUAGAGCUUCCUUGGUCAUUAUCAGAAGCUGGAAUUCCAUAUUUCUUGUUUGGUUAAUUGCUAGGCUGCCCUUCCUUCCCUUCCUUCCCUUCCUUCCCUUCCUUUCCUUCCCUUCCUUCCCUUCCUUCACUUCCUUCCCUUCCUUCCAUUUCCUUCCUUCCCUUCCUUCCUUUCUUUUAGGUUUGAUAACCUUCUGAAGGGAAUUUCCCCCCAUACAAUAUUUUCCCACUGGUUUUUACUGAUAUAGAAAAAAUAUUAAAUUUUGUUCAUAAUAUUGUAUCUGGCUACUGUGCUAAACCCUUUUAUUAAUUUUAAUGAUUCAUUAAUCUGUGCUCUUGGGAUUUUUCUAGAAAAGUGUCAUAAUAUUUACAACUGAAGAUGUUUGUCUUGUUCUUUCCACUAUUUAUACUUUUAAUUUUUUAAUUUGUUAUUCCAUUGACUAGGACUUCUAAUACAAUGUUACCUCUAAUACUUCACCAUUAAGAAGGAUGUUUGUGUAAAAUUCUUGUAGAUAUUCAUUCUUGAAUGAAGCUUUCAUUUUUAAAUUCAUAAUUAGUUAAGAUUAUAUUAGUUUUGAUUUAUGGGUAUUGAAAAGUAUCAAAUACUUUUCCUUCAUCUAUUACAAUUUUCAUUUUUUCCUCAUUAAUCUAUUAAUAUAGUCCUUGCAUUCCUGGCAUAAACCUCACUUGAUUCUCAUGGAUUAAUCAUGAAAUGCAUUGUUGAAUUUCAUUUCACAACAUAUUAUUAGGGAUUUUUGUUUCUAUAUUCCUGAACAGAGUGGACCUACAGCCUAAUUUGGGGGCUGUUCUUGUCUAGUCAAGUACAGGGUUAUGUUAACUUCAUAGUUUAAGUUCAAAAAAUUUUCAUCUAUUUUUAUAUACUUUUAUAGUUGAUGUACCAUGGCAAUUAUCUGUUUCUUAAAAAUUUGGUAGAACUUGCCUGUAAAACCAUUUGAGCCUGGAGUUAUUUCUAUUAAUAAAUCUCUGAUGCUUCUUACAGUUGUUUAUUCAGGUUAUCUACCCCUUAAUUGUGCUAAUUCUAGUAUACUUUAUUUUCCUUGAAAAUCGUCAAUUUCACCAUCAUCAAAUUUAUUGGUAUAAAAUUAUAUAUAAUAAUAUCUCGGCCAGGUGCAAUGGCUCAUGCCUGUAAUCCUAGCACUUUGGGAGGCUGAGGCGGGUGGAUCACCUGAGGGUCAGGAGUUCCAGACCAGCCUGGCCAACAUGGCAAAACCCCGUCUCUACUAUACAAAAAUUAGCCGGGCGUAGUGGUGGGUGCCUGUAAUCCCAGCUACUUGGAAGGCUGAGGCAAGAGAAUUGCUUGAACCCGGCGGGGUGGAGGUUGCAGUGAGCCGAGAUUGUGCUACUUCACUCUAGCCUGGGCAAAAGAGUGAGACUCCAUCUAAAAAAAAAUUAUAUAUAAUAAUAUCUCAUAAAUUAAAAAUUCUCCCCCAAAUUUGUAAUAUACUUUCUCAUUUCUAAUAUUCUUUAUUUUUGUUUUGUUUUCCUUUUUUUCUAAUUAUAUAAACUUAUCAGAAUUUUGUCUAUUUUAUUAGUCAUUACAAAGAACCAGAUUUGGAUAUUACUAAAUAACUACUCUUUUUCUUUCAUUUGUUUAUUAUUAAAUUAAUUUCUGUUUUUAUCUUUAAUAAUUCUUUUCUUCUAUUUUCAUUGAAUAUUUUGGUUAUUCUUUUUUAUAGCUUUUGGGUUAUUUUUAUCCUUUUUUUAUUAAUAAAUUAAUGUUUUAAAUUUUCCUGCACUAUUUUGUUUUCAUGUAUAAAUUUUGUGUGUUCUUAGUGUCACAUAUUUUAAAGUAAUUUAUAAUUUGUUUUGAUUGCUUCUUUAUCUAGUUACUAAAAAUACUGCUUAAAAAUGUACACAUGAAUAAAAAUACAUGUAUUCUUUAAAUAUCCUUGUUAUUCAUUUCUAAAUCGAUUGCAUUUUGGACACAGGAAUGAAACCUUCAUGAUUUCUGCUUUUUAUAAUAGAUUGAAUAAGGUUUUAAAAGAAAGUAAUCUUCUGUUUUGGCAGUGUGAUGCCUAUAACUAAUCAAUAAAACUUAUUUACUAAUUAUAA